rnacentral:lncRNA from 1 species
AAUGAUAUGUACAAUGUUGAUACCUCUUGACAGUAAUUUCUUGCAUAACAUUUAUUUAUUUUUAUUUAUAAUUAUAUAUUAAUUAACAAAAUCACCAACACUACAUUAUCAAAAUUAAGAUAAGCUGCGCUUUCAUAUAAUUCAUGGAGUUAUAAAACCGUGAUAGCACUUGUAUAAAAGAAAUGUAUUUGGACCCAGACCUAGUAGGAUAGCAUUUUCAAUAGCAUGUGCAUGCCUAGAGAAAAAAAGGAUUGUUGCUAUAUCUAACUCUAAUGUGUAAACUUCAAAUUAUAAUACUCCCU